UGGGGAAUUGUUCGCAAUGGGCGCAAGCCUGACGACGCAACGCCGCGUGGAGGAUGAAGAAUUUCGGUUCGUAAACUCCUGUCGAGCGGGACGAAAGAUGCGCGGGUUAAUACCCCGUGCAAGUGACGGUACCGCUAAAGGAAGCCCCGGUUAACUCCGUGCCAGCAGCCGCGGUAAUACAGAGGUCUCAAGCGUUGUUCGGAAUUACUGGGCGUAAAGGGUGCGUAGGCCGCACGGGCAGUCAAAUGUGAAAUUCUGGGGCUCAACCUCAGAAUUGCGCUUGAUACUUCCGUGCUCGAACCUUGGAGAGGAGUCUGGAAUUCUCGGUGUAGCAGUGAAAUGCGUGGAUAUCGAGAAGAACACUAAGGGCGAAGGCAAGACUCUAGACAAGUGUUGACGCUGAUGCACGAAGGCUAGGGUAGCGAA
rnacentral:rRNA from 1 species